GUUGUCGUGGCCGAGUGGUUAAGGCGAUGGACUUGAAAUCCAUUGGGGUUCAAGGUUCAAAUCCUGCCGAUAACG
rnacentral:tRNA from 1 species